rnacentral:rRNA from 1 species
GCAGCAGCCACGGGAAUACGGAGGAUCCAAGCGUUAUCCGGAAUCAUUGGGUUUAAAGGGUCCGUAGGCGGUCUUGUAAGUCAGUGGUGAAAGCCCAUCGCUCAACGGUGGAACGGCCAUUGAUACUGCAGGACUUGAAUUAUUGGGAAGUAACUAGAAUAUGUAGUGUAGCGGUGAAAUGCUUAGAGAUUACAUGGAAUACCAAUUGCGAAGGCAGGUUACUACCAAUUGAUUGACGCUGAUGGACGAAAGCGUGGGUAGCGAACAGGAUUAGAUACCCGCGUAGUCCCUGUCUCUUAUAC